rnacentral:rRNA from 1 species
CUGCGGAAGGAUCAUUAUUG